GGGCAAAGACGUUGCAUGGUUCAGGUUGGUGUUCGCAGUCUUUCCCUUGUAUUAGUCGUCAGUGGCGGAUCCAUAUUAUAAAAAGGGGGUCAAUUGACCCCUAGCUUUUACUACAAAAAUCCUUGUAUAUGUAUAUGUAUUUAUUUAAUUGACCCCUUAUGAAUUAAAUUAUUGAACCCUCUUUUUGGUAAAAUUUAAAAUUAAAUAAGAGUAUAAUAAUAUUUUAUCAAGAUAAAAUUACACAGUCGCAUGUGUGAUUAAUUGAUAAAUGACUUUUUAAGUACCUAUAUAAAAAGAGAG
rnacentral:misc_RNA from 1 species